ensembl:lncRNA
UAUAUUUAUUAUUAUUAGGGGUUCAAGCACGCAGUGCUGAAACCCUAUUGUAAUUGUUAGGAUUUUUAUUAUUAUUAUUAUUAUUAUUAUUAUUAUUAUUCUUCCGCCUUAAAACUGAACGGGCAGCCCAAACCGUAAGGCCUAGAGAGCUGAAACUUGGUCAAAAGGUAGUAGUCUUGCUCGCUACUCAGGCGCAAAGAACCGGCCCAAUCGGCCUAACGGGGGCGCUACAGCGCAAAAUACAAAAAUUUCAGACAUUUUUGGCCCGCAGUCGUAAACCGUUUGACGUAGACUCAAAAACUUUACAUCAUUGUAAUCCUUGGGUCAGUCCGAACAAAAGUGGAGUCCGAAAUUUUUGCUCUACGACGCACGGUUUUUCCGCAAAAUUGACCUAUAGCCCAAACCUACUUUUGCGAACUAGUCCUAGGUUUUUCACCCGAUCAGAACCAAACCACUGCAGAAAUAUUCUCUGGACACUCAUUAUCAAUAAUUAUCAAAAAAAAG